rnacentral:rRNA from 1 species
CCUACGGGUGGCAGCAGUGGGGGAUAUUGCACAAUGGGCGGAACCCUGAUGCAGCGACGCCGCGUGGGUGAAGAAGCGCCUCGGCGCGUAAAGCUCUGUCAGCAGGGAAGAAAAUGAGGGUACCUGAAGAUGCAGCCCCGGCUAACUACGUGCCAGCAGCCGCGGUAAUACGUAGGGGGCACGCGUUAUCCGGAUUGACUGGGUGUAAAGGGGGCGCAGACGGCGAUGCAAGCCAGGAGUGAAAGCCCUGGGCUCAACCCCGGGAGUGCUCUUGGAACUGCGUGGCUGGAGUGCAGGAGAGGCAGGGGGAAUUCCAGGUGUAGCGGUGAAAUGCGUAGAUAUCAGGAGGAACACCGGUGGCGAAGGCGACCUGCUGGACUGCAACUGACGUUGAGGCCCGAAAGCGUGGGGAGCAAACAGGAUUAGAUACCCCGGUAGUC